UGGGGAAUUUUGGACAAUGGGCGAAAGCCUGAUCCAGCAAUGCCGCGUGUGUGAAGAAGGCCUUCGGGUUGUAAAGCACUUUUGUCCGGAAAGAAAUCCUUGGCUCUAAUACAGUCGGGGGAUGACGGUACCGGAAGAAUAAGCACCGGCUAACUACGUGCCAGCAGCCGCGGUAAUACGUAGGGUGCAAGCGUUAAUCGGAAUUACUGGGCGUAAAGCGUGCGCAGGCGGUUUGCUAAGACCGAUGUGAAAUCCCCGGGCUCAACCUGGGAACUGCAUUGGUGACUGGCAGGCUAGAGUAUGGCAGAGGGGGGUAGAAUUCCACGUGUAGCAGUGAAAUGCGUAGAGAUGUGGAGGAAUACCGAUGGCGAAGGCAGCCCCCUGGGGCCAAAUACUGACGCUCAUGCACGAAAGCGUGGGGAGCAAACAGGAUUAGAUACCCUGGUAGUCCACGCCCUAAACGAUGUCAACUAGUUGUUGGGGAUUCAUUUCCUUAGUAACGUAGCUAACGGGUGAAGUUGACCGCCUGGGGAGUACGGUCGCAAGAUUAAAACUUAAAUGAAUUGACGGGGU
rnacentral:rRNA from 1 species